GACAGAGGCCCCAAGCGUUAGGCGGAAUCACUGGGCUUAAAGCGUGUGUAGGCGGAUGCCUAAGUACCUUGUGAAAUCCCACGGCUCACCCGUGGAACUGCUGGGUAUACUGGGCAUCUUGGGCCAUUCAGGGGCAACUGGAACAAGCGGUGGAGCGGUGAAAUGCGUAGAUAUCUGGAGGAACACCGGUGGCGAAGGCGGCAUCCUGGACCGAUAUUGACGCUGAUGCGCGAAAGCCAGGGGAGCAAACGGG
rnacentral:rRNA from 1 species